GAUGAACGCUGGCGGCGUGCCUAAUACAUGCAAGUCGAGCGAACAGACGAGGGGCUUGCUCCUCUGACGUUAGCGGCGGACGGGUGAGUAACACGUGGAUAACCUACCUAUAAGACUGGGAUAACUUCGGGAAACCGGAGCUAAUACCGCAUAAUAUAUUUAACCGCAUGGUUCAAUAGUGAAAGACGGUUUUGCUGUCACUUAUAGUUGGAUCCGCGCCGCUUUAGCUAGUUGGUAAGGUAACGGCUUACCAAGGCGACGAUGCGUAGCCGACCUGGGAGGGUGAUCGGCCACAUGGGAACUGGAACACGGUCCAGACUCCUACGGGAGGCAGCAGUAGGGAAUCUUCCGCAAGGGGCGAAAGCCUGACGGAGCAACGCGGCGUGAGUGAUGAAGGUCUUCGGAUCGUAAAACUCUGUUAUUAGGGAAGAACAAAUGUGUAAGUAACUAUGCACGUAUUGACGGUACCUAAUCAGAAAGCCACGGCUAACUACGUG
rnacentral:rRNA from 1 species